GGCUCCGUAGUUCAAUGGAUAGAACGAGGGACUUCUAAUCCCUAGAUCAAGGUUCGAUUCCUUGCGGAGUCA
rnacentral:tRNA from 2 species